rnacentral:sRNA from 1 species
GUGAUGAGUACGAGGCGGAGGUGGCGGCUGCGGUGGCGGCACAUCCCACGAAUGGCGCUGCUCCACUGGUGGCGCUGCUGUAAUGUAAAUGAUGCGGAGGAGGAUGUGGCUGCUGCUGCUGCUGCUGCUGCUGAUGCUGAUGAUUGAUCGGUGAGCUGCUCAUUGUAAAGCCGCCGGCUGUACCUUGAGCUGUGGCUGUUGUAGCUGCUGCCGCUGCUGCUGUGGUAGUAGCUGCUGAGGCGCCGGCAUUGCCACUGCCACCAGGACUCUUUAAUUG